GACGUAGGGCGCGAGCGUUGUCCGGAUUUAUUGGGCGUAAAGAGCUCGUAGGCGGCUUGUCGCGUCGAAUGUGAAAACUCGGGGCUCAACUCCGAGCUUGCAUUCGAUACGGGCAGGCUAGAGUUCGGUAGGGGAGACUGGAAUUCCUGGUGUAGCGGUGAAAUGCGCUGAUAUCAGGAGGAACACCGGUGGCGAAGGCGGGUCUCUGGGCCGAUACUGACGCUGAGGAGCGAAAGCGUGGGGAGCGAACAGG
rnacentral:rRNA from 1 species